rnacentral:rRNA from 1 species
ACUCCUACGGAAGGCAGCAGUGGGGAAUCUUGCGCAAUGGACGAAAGUCUGACGCAGCAACGCCGCGUGAGUGAUGAAGGUCUUUGGAUCGUAAAGCUCUUUCGGGAGGGAAGAAAUGGUUGUGUGCUAAUACCACAUAGCCUUGACGGUACCUUCAGAAGAAGCACCGGCUAACUCUGUGCCAGCAGCCGCG